CUUUUUUAUAUUCCUACAUAUAUGUACAGUGCCGUGCAAAAACUUUGCCAGGUUCUGUCUAGGAGAGGAAAGCCCCGUUCCCACUUGCGGAAAAGUCUCUACGAAAAAUAAUUACGUAUACAGAAUUUAUUUUCUUUUUCCGGAUGAUUUCCGUCCGUAAAAUUCAGUGUGUUCCCAUCUAAUCUGGAAAAGAAUUUCAAAAGCGCCAGUUAUUGGCAGUUAUCUUCUGACAUCACACAUUCAACGUAGAGGAUGAAUUCAACGAAUGUUUUCGACUGUAUAGUGCCGAGUUUCUUUCACUGUGUGUUUUAUAUAAGAAAUAUAUUCAAAAUAAAAAGAGAAAACGUAGAUUUUUGGGUACUGGGAUUAUAUCGUUCUUGUGAUCCCCUUGGAUAUAAAGGAACAAUUAUUAAAGAACUGCGUUUAUAUGAUAGGCAAUAUUCAGCUUUAAAUACCCAGC
rnacentral:lncRNA from 1 species